rnacentral:rRNA from 1 species
AGAGUUUGAUCCUGGCUCAGGAUGAACGCUAGCGGCAGGCUUAACACAUGCAAGUCGAGGGGCAGCGGGGAGGAAGCUUGCUUUCUCCGCCGGCGACCGGCGCACGGGUGAGUAACACGUAUGCAACCUGCCCCUGUCAGGGGGACAACCCGCCGAAAGGCGGGCUAAACCCGCGUACAUGCCACCGGGGCAUCCCGGAGGCAGGAAAGGCUUCGGCCGGACAGGGAUGGGCAUGCGGCGCAUUAGGCAGUAGGCGGGGUAACGGCCCACCUAACCGACGAUGCGUAGGGGUUCUGAGAGGAAGGUCCCCCACACUGGUACUGAGACACGGACCAGACUCCUACGGGAGGCAGCAGUGAGGAAUAUUGGUCAAUGGUCGGGAGACUGAACCAGCCAAGCCGCGUGAGGGAGGAAGGUACAGAGUAUCGUAAACCUCUUUUGUCAGGGAACAAAGGCGGGGACGUGUCCCCGGAUGAGUGUACCUGAAGAAAAAGCAUCGGCUAACUCCGUGCCAGCAGCCGCGGUAAUACGGAGGAUGCGAGCGUUAUCCGGAUUUAUUGGGUUUAAAGGGUGCGCAGGCGGUCUGUUAAGUCAGCGGUCAAAGCCCGGGGCUCAACCCCGGCCCGCCGUUGAAACUGGCAGUCUCGAGUUGGAGAGAAGUAUGCGGAAUGCGCGGUGUAGCGGUGAAAUGCAUAGAUAUCGCGCAGAACUCCGAUUGCGAAGGCAGCAUGCCGGCUCCACACUGACGCUGAGGCACGAAAGCGUGGGUAUCGAACAGGAUUAGAUACCCUGGUAGUCCACGCAGUAAACGAUGAAUACUAGCUGUCCGGGGCGAAUGAGCCCUGGUGGCACAGCGAAAGCGUUAAGUAUUCCACCUGGGGAGUACGCCGGCAACGGUGAAACUCAAAGGAAUUGACGGGGGCCCGCACAAGCGGAGGAACAUGUGGUUUAAUUCGAUGAUACGCGAGGAACCUUACCCGGGCUCAAACGACACAGGAACGUACCUGAAAGGGUUCGGCUCUACGGAGCCUGUGUCGAGGUGCUGCAUGGUUGUCGUCAGCUCGUGCCGUGAGGUGUCGGCUUAAGUGCCAUAACGAGCGCAACCCCCAUCGACAGUUGCUAACAGGUCAGGCUGAGGACUCUGUCGAGACUGCCGGCGCAAGCUGCGAGGAAGGCGGGGAUGACGUCAAAUCAGCACGGCCCUUACGUCCGGGGCGACACACGUGUUACAAUGGCAGGUACAGCGGGAAGCCACCUGGCGACAGGGAGCGGAACCCGAAAGCCUGUCUCAGUUCGGAUUGGAGUCUGCAACCCGACUCCAUGAAGCUGGAUUCGCUAGUAAUCGCGCAUCAGCCACGGCGCGGUGAAUACGUUCCCGGGCCUUGUACACACCGCCCGUCA